rnacentral:ncRNA from 1 species
GCGAUGAAGCGGGAGGUUGCGGCAGUUAGCCGGUUUUUCCGUGGAGUAUGUCCGAUUUUAAACCGGGCGAUA